UCUCUCUCUCUCUCUCUCUCUCGCUCUGUUCCUGGGUCUCAAACGCUACUAGAUCUCGACCUACGCGCCCGCUUCUUUUUCUUCCACCAGAACUAUUCCUAUACGCAGUUUUCAUUUGAACGUUUGGAUUUCUAGAUCCCCAUCCUCUUCUAACUGCUUUGCUAAUUUAUCUUCUUGAUCCGUCUCGUUCGCCCUUGCUUUUUUCUCAUGGAUAGGUCAUUUAGAUGGUUGUUUUGUUUUCAGGAUGCCCCCAGGAAAUCCGACCCUCGAGCUCAAAACUCCAUGAAUUUCCAAAAGAAAAAAUAAUAGGAGUUGUUUUGUCUUUCCUUUUUGGUGGGUAUCUCAGCCAACUAUUCUGCCCGUGCGGAUUGGAUUAUUUAAUUUAUAAAAAGUACUAAGAAAACUUUACCUUCCGUUCAUCCUUUCUGCGCAGUUUUAUUUUGGAACCGUAUUUUUCUAUUAGGGUUUCUUCGGCCACUCUGUAGCUCUAGCUUCACCCAUUUGUUAAGUGCCACAUCAGCCCAAAGUUUGUGGAAGCCCACUGGUAUAUAACCUCGGAGUUGCUCCUGUUUCUUUCAUGUGUUUCCAUUCGCUUAUACUAUUCUUUCUGCUUUCUCUCUUCUUUGACUCAAAGAUUGGACUCUUUUUUUUUUUUGGUGGGGAGGGGGCGAGGUUUGGAGCAUUUUUCCACUAUUUCUUUCACAGUUUCUUUCAUUGAAAGACUAGACUAAUAGACAGUUUCACAGUCGUUGUUUGCAGGCGCAGCAUCAUCAAGAUUCACAUGCCAUUAAUGCACGGCGGAAGCAACUUGAUGAAGUUAAUUUCUUCCAGAUGCCGGAGUUGAGAAUCUUGAUGAUGCUGCAUCGGCGGAUAAAUGACUACAAAAUACCUUAUUGAAGGAUCUAGAGUCUGCUGUUUCCAGAACGAGGGAACUAUUUUCAAUUCUCAGACUUUCUUUUCCUGCUGAUAUAAAGUAUUUUUUAGUUAAUAAACGCUGGUGGGUUUGUUUCUGUUCCCGUGCCAUGUUUCCUUUACGACUUUGAGUAUUUUUUUCAUUCUUUAUUGUUCAUGACUUCCAGGAAUCAAGGGAUCGAGCUAUAUAUUGAAAGGGGUUAUAUAUUGAAGUGCAAGAAUUAAUAAAGGUGAAAAAAAAAGGCAAUGAAUCAUUCCCUCUUCUCCGAAAGUCCACCGGCCAGUACGUACGUUAGUGAGAUAAAACAAUAAUAGCGUGUACAACGAGAUCGUAGCAAAUCAAUUUUACUACGAACUUAUUUGUAUGCAUGCGCACAUAAUUAUACAUGCUGGCGCCACUGUACAAAUGAGUCUCUUGGGUCUCUCUAAUUGAUUGAUUGAUGUCUAACGCAUAUCCAAUGCAAAACUAUGAUCGAUGGAAUCAUGAGAACCUUCAGGUGGUUAGGAGCGAGCGAGUUUCUUGCCAAAGUUUCUUUACAUGCGUGACGAACUGAUCAACAUGAUAUUGGGACGAUGAUACGGGAUUCGAUCGUACGUAACUAAUUAGGGAUAUUGAAGUUUUGCUUUUGAUCGAUCGUCGUCAGGCUGAUCAGUACUUUAUAUAUUUCAUUAGUCAUUUUCAUAUAUACAUACAUAUAUCUGUAGUUAUCUUCUUUGCGAAAAGGGGCAUUCAAUUACAACUAUAUGAGUAUUAAAUGUUGAUUUUAA